CCCACGAGCCCAGCCGCUAAUGUGCACACUCAUACCCGGACGCUCUGCGGUCGGCGACGUUUACGAGCCGGAAGAUGUUCCACCCGCUGCGAAACUGGUUUUACGGAGAAAUUCGGUUCUCUAGCAGCCGUGUUCCACCUUCACUGCUUGAGUGUCCAUAGAAGCACUUCAAGAAAGAUUUAUUGUUAAGGCACCUAAGAAGAGUUACCUCUUACUGGAGGAACAAACCUGAUGUCUCAUCCAGUUAGUUGGAGCUGAAGUGGAAAAAGGGGGUAAAAACAGUUAUCACCAGGUCAUAUCCAAUGAAUGUCCUUUUUCCUAUGUAAAUACACCAUCAGAAUAUUAGGAAAUCCCGCACUAAUAACACUUUCAUGGAACAAAGUGUCUAUUCUAAACACCGGUACAGCUACAAUAAAAAAAUCCGUUUGGAAACAACAACAAAGCUUUUGUUACACAAUACAUACUCUAUGUGCAUGAAUCAAUGAAUCACCUUUAAGAAAAACAGGAAAUUGAAAUAUUCCCUAAAAUAAUUAAAUCUUUCAGGAAUGAAACACUCACAGCGUGGCUCUCCGGGUGGUCUUGGGUUGCUGGCACUGCUGCCAAAGGAUGACUGGAAGUUAUGUAUGGUUUCUUGAAGGAUCUGCCUUUCUCGGCCCUGACCAAGGCACAAAAUGUUAGUUUCACAAUCUCAGGAAAAUAUGGCAAGUUACAGUAUAUUUUGUCAAACUGCAACGGUCCAGAAUUUAAGUAAUUUCAAGUUCAUCUUACAAUAUAACCCUUCAAAAUAAAUGGAUUAUAGAAGAUUUGAUUUGGGAAAAAUGCUCCCGAAUUACCCGUGCACAUGUAGCAACGACUCUCUUGUGACUUCUUCCAACUCCUAGCCUAAAUUUAGCUCCUCCCCCACAUACAACACUUGUCUAUUGGAUGAGA